rnacentral:rRNA from 1 species
GAAAUAAGAUUUUAAAUGAGUGCUAAGAGAAUGAUUAAAGAAUUAAAAGCUUUCUUUAAUUAAAAAAUUAAAUUUAAUUUUUUAGUGCAAAAGCAAAAAUAAAAUUUAGGGACAAGAAGACCCUAUGAAUUUUUAUUGUUAAUAAUUAAAAUUUAAAUUAUUAAUAAUUUAAUUGGGGCGAUAAAAAAAGAAUAAGUAUCUUUUUAGUUAUAAAAUAAGUUCCGUUUUUAGCGAUUAAAUGAAAUAAAUACUCUAGGGAUAACAGCGUAAUAAUUUUGGAUAGUUCAUAUAGAUAAAAUAGUUUGCGACCUCGAUGUUGGAUUAGGAUUCUU